UCCUUUUCUCUGAACUGGGGGCAUGCAGGAGGUGAGCCCAGGGUCCCAUCCUGCCCCAUGCCACUAAUAUGGAGAGUACGUUCUCAUGAGGUCCCAGGAUUUGAGAUCCAGAUAUUUUCUCCAGGUGUAAAGGAUGAUUCCUGGUUUAGAGAGAACAGCUCCCUUUUUCCCUUUAGCCAAAGUCCCCAGGUCUAGAAAUUCUGUUGCUGAUCAAAAAGUAGCCCUAAGGAGGAUCAAAGUAGAGGUCAAGGUUACAGCCUUCACACAUGUAAGGUCUCCCUGCCCCUAAACAGCCUCUGGGGCCCAGGGUUGUUCCAGCCCUCCUGUGUCUUUCCACUGGUGUUGGCACCCAGGAGACCAUCCUCCUCCUCUGAGCUCCUGGGACUCUGCCAGGCUUUCUCAAUCUGUCCUGAAGAAUCACCAAAACUGCUUACGUUGUUUUAAUUCAAACCCCAUCCUGGAGCUUUAAAUGUUCCCAAUUUGUUUUAUAAAAUAAAUAUCCAUGCUGCUAGGAUUGAAUAAGUACUGAUUAUGUAAGGACAAUGCUUCUGGGUCCUUUGGAUGCACAAGUAACACUUGAAGAACUAAAAGGAGGCACAAGCAGACCAGAAGGUGACCAGGAUGGUGAAGGUGCUAGAAGCCAUGUACAGGAGAAGCCACCAAUGUUAUUGAACAAGGGAAAAACCAAGGGGCAUGUGGCAGUUUUUCCUAGGGUAUUCUUUCUCCCUGGGAUGCAGCUGUCUUGUAUCCAGCCCCCUUGAUCCAAGGUUUCCAGCAGCUGCUGCCUGGGCUCUGGGAGCACUGGGCCUCACAAAGAGAACCGCAACCAAUUGUGGAAUGACAUUUUCCUGCCUGUGUGAACUGGUUUGGAAGAAGACAGCUGCCAGGGGAGCAAAGCCCAAUACAAUGCAGAACGGGGAUGUGCUGAAACACAGAGUCAGCCCCAGGUCAAGGAGGAGGAGGGGUGGCUGCCUGAAAAUGGAAGGCAAGCUCUCCCACAGUGAGGGGAGAAAGUCAGACUGGGCACCUGGAGUCCUCCUUAUAGAAGAGAUGUACGAGGCAGGAGGCCCAAGCAGGAAGAGACCCUCUCCACUGGAGACAUCCCCCCCCCCUUUUAGAUGUAUUGUUCUUUUCGAAUGACACGAGUAAUGGACAGACACCUGACAGAGGAGUGUGAAGAAAUUCCCUUUACUUCCUCCUCCAAUCCCAAUCCUUAACUCUUUAUUGUGUAUUCUUCAGGAACUCUCCAUGCGUUUAAAUGUCUGGUGUUGAAUAUAUACACAUAAGAUUAUAUGGAUAUAAUCUUACAUAGGUGGCAUCAGCUGCAUUUAGAAUUGGUCACUCCCUCCUUUUUUAAGCUCUUUCUCCCCUUGGUUUCCAGGGCUUGACCUCUUCAGGCUCUCCUCCUACCUCACUGCUCACUCUUUGGUUCUUCUCCACCUCUCAUGCUGGGUCUUCCUCACAUGAGUGACCUCCUAAUAAGAGAGGUCCCAGACAGAGUCAGGGACCACUUCUCUACCUCUUUGGUUUCUCCUAGUCCUAUAGCACUGCAUAGUGCUUACAAGAUGAUAGCUCUCAAGUAUGUUUCUCCAGCCUGAAGCUAGACCACCACCUGCCACACCUGACAUCCCAGCUGGGACCUUUAAUAGGCCCUGCAAACCAGUCCAAGGCAGAGCCCUUGAUUUUGUCCUUCCUGAACCUGCUCCUCUCCCAGUCUACCCACCAUUUACUGGCCACACACUGGGAAUCCUCCUUGGUUCCUCUUUUCUUUCCGUAAUCCAAACUGGCAACAAAUCCCAGGGCCACUACCACUCAGGACCUGCUCACUUCUCACCCUGCCCCCACCACCAUGGUAGGUCCACAACCGUACUUCACCUGAACUACUGCAGUGGCCUCCUAACCUGCUCUCCCUGCUUCAACCACCUCCAGAAGCAAUGCUUUUCACAGUAGAUAGACUGAGCUUUUAAAAUGUAAAGGCAGAGGCGCCUGAGUGGCUCAACCAGUUGAGCAUCUGACUUUGGCUGAAGUCAUGAUCUCACAGUUUGUGAGUUCGAGUCCCACGUUGGGCUCUCUGCUAUCAGCACAGAGCCUGCUUCAGAUCCCCCACACACACCUCCCCCGCUCAUGCUCGCUGUCUCUCAAAAAUAACCACUAAAAAAAAAGGUAAAAGCAAUCAUGUCAUGUCCCUGCUCAAAAUACCCCCUGCCAUCCUCAGAACUGAACCCAAAGGCCCUGUCUGGCUCAUCCACCGCCAUCUCUGGUCCAGUUUCCUACCAUGGCUCCAGUGGUUUGGUUUUGUUCAUUACUACAGCUCUGGCACAUAGCAGAUUCUCAAUAUAUGUAUUUUAAUUAAA